GACGAACGCUGGCGGCGUGCUUAACACAUGCAAGUCGAGCGAGUGGAUUCCCUUCGGGGAUGAAGCUAGCGGCGGACGGGUGAGUAACACGUGGGCAACCUGCCUUAUAGAGGGGGAUAGCCUUCCGAAAGGAAGAUUAAUACCGCAUAACAUCAGAUUAUCGCAUGGUAGACUGAUCAAAGGAGCAAUCCGCUAUAAGAUGGGCCCGCGUCGCAUUAGCUAGUUGGUGAGGUAACGGCUCACCAAGGCGACGAUGCGUAGCCGACCUGAGAGGGUGAUCGGCCACAUUGGGACUGAGACACGGCCCAGACUCCUACGGGAGGCAGCAGUGGGGAAUAUUGCACAAUGGGGGAAACCCUGAUGCAGCAACGCCGCGUGAGUGAUGGAGGCCUUCGGGUUGUAAUGCUCUUUGAUCAGGGACGAUAAUGACGGUACCUGAAGAACAAGCCACGGCUAACUACGUGCCAGCCGCCGCAGUAAAAC
rnacentral:rRNA from 1 species